GAUAAGCCUCGGGGAGCUGCCAAAGAGCUUUGAUCCGGGGAUUUCUGAAUGGGGAAACCCAAUAUAAUGAGAAUUAUAUUACCCUACGGGGAGCGAACCUAGUGAAGUGAAACAUCUCAGUAGCUAGAGGAAGAGAAAUCAAACGAGAUUCCCAAAGUAGCGGCGAGCGAAAUGGGAUUAGGACAAACCCAAUGCUUGCAUUGGGGGUUGUAGGACCAUGAUAUGAGACUAAAGAGGAUAGAUGAAAUACUUGCAAAAGUGUAGCAUAGAAGGUGAAACUCCUGUAAUUAAAAUUCUCAAUAGCUCUAAUGGUAUCCUGAGAAGGUCGGAACACGUGAUAUUUUGACUGAAGCCGGGGGGACCACCCUCCAAUCCUAAAUACUACUUACAGAUCGAUAGU
rnacentral:rRNA from 1 species